AGUAUGGUCAGCUAAUUAAGCUUUCGGGCCCAUACCCCGACAAUGUUGGACUCCAAACCCUCCCCCUACUA
rnacentral:tRNA from 1 species